rnacentral:misc_RNA from 1 species
AAGUCGUAACAAGGUUUCCGUAGGUGAACCUGCGGAAGGAUCAUUAACACGUAUCCAACGUUAAACCCCCCUGUGAAUUUUAUCGCUGCUCUUGCAGACGCCGGAUAUUUUGAUUCAGGCACCUCUAACCCCGGUAGAUCUAUAGCUGCAAUUUGAGCGCUUGUGCAAGUGGCCUGGUUUCCCCAAGCAGCUAGUGUCUGAAAGUGUCGCUGGUUGUGUAAGGAAAACGCUUUACGAUCGCCACCGGGCUGCUGUGGCUUUAUGCCCCCUAUAUUUACCCCACUACCUUAACUCGGGUCGCAGGAAACUGCUUCCCAUCAACCGAACAACUGUUAACAAUGGAUAUCUUGGUUCUC